CGGAGGAUCCAAGCGUUAUCCGGAAUCAUUGGGUUUAAAGGGUCCGUAGGCGGGUUUAUAAGUCAGUGGUGAAAGCCCAUCGCUCAACGAUGGAACGGCCAUUGAUACUGUAGAUCUUGAAUUAUUAGGGAGUAACUAGAAUAUGUAGUGUAGCGGUGAAAUGCUUAGAGAUUACAUGGAAUACCAAUUGCGAAGGCAGGUUACUACUAAUGGAUUGACGCUGAUGGACGAAAGCGUGGGUAGCGAACAGGAUUAGAUACCCUGGUAGUCCACGCCGUAAACGAUGGAUACUAGCUGUUCGGAGCAAUCUGAGUGGCUAAGCGAAAGUGAUAAGUAUCCCACCUGGGGAGUACGUUCGCAAGAAUG
rnacentral:rRNA from 1 species